rnacentral:rRNA from 1 species
AGUGAACGCUGGCGGUAGGCCUAACACAUGCAAGUCGAACGGCAGCACAGUAAGAGCUUGCUCUUACGGGUGGCGAGUGGCGGACGGGUGAGGAAUACAUCGGAAUCUACUUUUUCGUGGGGGAUAACGUAGGGAAACUUACGCUAAUACCGCAUACGACCUACGGGUGAAAGCAGGGGAUCUUCGGACCUUGCGCGAUUGAAUGAGCCGAUGUCGGAUUAGCUAGUUGGCGGGGUAAAGGCCCACCAAGGCGACGAUCCGUAGCUGGUCUGAGAGGAUGAUCAGCCACACUGGAACUGAGACACGGUCCAGACUCCAACGGGAAGCAGCAGUGGGGAAUAUUGGACAAUGGGCGCAAGCCUGAUCCAGCCAUACCGCGUGGGUGAAGAAGGCCUUCGGGUUGUAAAGCCCUUUUGUUGGGAAAGAAAAGCAGCAGGUUAAUACCCCGCUGUUCUGACGGUACCCAAAGAAUAAGCACCGGCUAACUUCGUG